rnacentral:rRNA from 1 species
UACGGAGGGUGCAAGCGUUAAUCGGAAUUACUGAGCGUAAAGCGCACGCAGGCGGUCAAUUAAGUCAGAUGUGAAAGCCCCGAGCUUAACUUGGGAAUUGCAUCUGAAACUGGUUGGCUAGAGUCUUGUAGAGGGGGGUAGAAUUCCACGUGUAGCGGUGAAAUGCGUAAAGAUGUGGAGGAAUACCGGUGGCGAAGGCGGCCCCCUGGACAAAGACUGACGCUCAGGUGCGAAAGCGUGGGGAGCAAACAGG